rnacentral:misc_RNA from 1 species
UGAUGGUGGUGCUGGUGUUGUUCUUCGUCGGUGGUCAUGCCGCUGCUGCUACAGUUAGUUUCUUCUACGGACUCUGGUUUUCUAGGGUUGAAACUGGAGUUGAAAUUUUUGGAGCAUUUGAAAUCGAUAUUGCUUUUCAAAAGCUUAAUUUCGGAAAUUGAUUGAGGAGAUGCGUUUUCGAAGUUUAACUGCGUGACUCUAUUGGCGGUGGG